UGAAUUAAAGAUCUAAUGUCAUUCACAUAAAAUAUGGGUGAUGGAUUUAUGGGUUAGCUUGAUCAGGUUCUCCUAAUUGGGUUAGACUUAAGAUUAGAAUCAAAUAUCAAAAAGACUAAAAAGAGAAAUUUGAUUUAAUCAGGAUUUCUCUAGUCAACACAAUAGUUGUCAUUGGUCGGGUCCAUAUCUUUGAUUAGACCCAAAUGGACUU
rnacentral:lncRNA from 1 species